UACGUAGGGUGCAAGCGUUUAAUCGGAAUUACUGGGCGUAAAGCGUGCGCAGGCGGUUAUGCAAGACAGAUGUGAAAUCCCCGGGCUCAACCUGGGAACUGCAUUUGUGACUGCAUGGCUAGAGUACGGUAGAGGGGGAUGGAAUUCCGCGUGUAGCAGUGAAAUGCGUAGAUAUGCGGAGGAACACCGAUGGCGAAGGCAAUCCCCUGGACCUGUACUGACGCUCAUGCACGAAAGCGUGGGGAGCAAACAGG
rnacentral:rRNA from 1 species